rnacentral:rRNA from 1 species
GACGGAGGGUGCUAGCGUUGUUCGGAAUCACUGGGCGUAAAGGGCGCGUAGGCGGCCGCCCGCGUCGGACGUGGAAAGCCCGGGGCUCAACCCCGGAACGGCGUCCGAUGACGGGGCGGCUCGAGGCCGGGAGAGGGGGUGGAAUACCCAGUGUAGAGGUGAAAUUCGUAGAUAUUGGGUGAAACACCGGUGGCGAAAGCGGCCCCUGGCCCGGUCCGUGACGCUGAGGCGCGAAAGCGUGGGGAGCGAACAGG